rnacentral:rRNA from 1 species
UACGAGGGGAGCAAGCGUUGUUCGGAUUUACUGGGCGUAAAGGGCGCGUAGGCGGUCGUGACAAGUCACUUGUGAAAUCUCCGGGCUUAACCCGGAAAGGUCAGCCGAUACUGCGGGGCUAGAGUGCAGAAGGGGCAACUGGAAUUCUCGGUGGUAGCGGUGAAAUGCGUAGAUAUCGAGAGGAACACCUGCGGCGAAGGCGGGUGCUGGGCUGACACUGACGCUGAGGCGCGAAGCUAGGGGAGCGAACGGG